UUUUUUUUUUGUCUUUUUUUGUCUUUUUGCUAUUUCUUUGGGCCGCUCCUUGGCAUUUGGAGGUUCCCAGGCUAGGGGUCGAAUCGGAGCUGUAGCCACUGGCCUACGCCAGAGCCACAGCAACACGGGAUCCGAGCCGCGUCUGCAACCUACACCACAGCUCAUGGCAACGCCGGAUCGUUAACCCACUGAGCAAGGGCAAGGAGCGAACCGCAACCUCAUGGUUCCUAGUCGGAUUCGUUAACCACUGCACCAUGAUGGGAACUCCGGGUUAUUAUUUUUAUUGUUAUUUCUGAGGUCCAGUUUUCCAGAGGGGUGGGAGCAACAUGUCCCACAAUCAAGUUUUUGGCCACAAGUUUGGUUACAAAGAAGAAGAACUGAGCAAUUAAGUAAAUACACUGGAAAUAAUGGGAAUUAGGUUUCUAACUAUAGGUUUCUAACUAUCAGAGAAAGAAGUUACAAGUAUGGAAAGGUAGAAGGCUAGGAAAAGAACAAUUUUGGAUUGGAAUUAUCAGUGUGAACUCAUUUUUUAUAACACUGUAAUAGAGAUACAAAAAACAGUAAAUAUGUGUAGAUGUGCAUACUUCCUAAAAUGUAUAUGCUAAGAGGCCCUAGAAGCAAUAAUACCUCAGUAGCAAUAAGCAUACCUAGAGUGCAGAUAAACAAUGCUUUGCAUUAAAGGGAGCCAAUGCUCCUUAAAGAAAUGGCUGGCUCCCACAGCUAAGACAGAAAAUUCAGGAGUCAAGCCUAAAACAUCUAGCCAUGCCAAAAAGUUCAGGAAGAACACAAAAAAAUGAUAAGGACAUGUCAAAAGAACACAGGAACUAGCUUUAAGCAGCUUCCACCAGCCAAGUCCAGAACAAUUUAAAUAAAUAAUAAAUCAUAACCCACUGAGGAAAAUAAGAAAACCAUCCUAAAGUAAAUGAAUAGGGAAAGCUCUUCCCUACUAUACAAUGCCAACUAAUAAAUCUAGAAGAAAUGAUGAAGUCAGAAAAGUCAUCAUUUGGCACCUUUCAUAAUAUAAUACCUGAUUCAGGUAAAAUCAUUAAUAGAAGCUAAAACAUGACAGUUUGAUGGAAAUAGGAUAUUACAAAGUCUCAAAGUAUCUUCCAAAAAAAUAUUAGUACAACUUACUUAUUAAUUAUAAGGUCAAAAAACCUGACAGACACCAUCUUAUCAAAGUGAUAAAAGUUAAACAUUACCAGCAAUAGGAAACCAACCUUUUUCCUAAUAUGCCCUAAAAAGAACACAGUAUCACAUGGAUGGCACUAGAGCCCCAAAAGGCACAAAACACAAGAAAAUAUGAGGCAAACCCUUACUGAAGGACAGUCUACAAAGUAACUAGCUUAUACUCUUCAAAAAUGCCAAGGUCACGAAAGACAAAGAAAAACCAAGGAACUGUUCCAGAUUGAAGGAGACUAAAAAGGCAAUUAAAUGUAACGCAGGAUCUGGGAUUAGAUCCUGGACCUGUAAACAACAUUAUCGAGAGAAUCCACAAAAUGUGAAUGAGUUCUAUGGGAUUAAAUGGUAAUAUUCAAUCCAUGUUAACUGCCUGAUUUUGAAAGUUGUACUGUGGCUAUGUAGGAGAGUGUUCUUUAUUUAGGAAAGAACUCUGAAGUACAAAGUGCUCAAAGUCUUUAACAGAUUCUCAUUAUACUGAAAACUACAUCCACAAAAUGUGGCUUACCUGACCAUCAUUCAACUCCCCAUCCUUAUCUCAGAAUAUUCACUAUACAUUCUAGUCACUAAAAUUCUAUGCUCUCUCUCGGCUCAGCACCUUCAUCCAUUUUUUCUCUGUACUUGGAAACUUUCUCAUCAAAAUUUCCCAUUUUUCUUGUCCUUAUUCAUUCACUCAUUCAACAAAGAUACACUAAGAGUUACUGUGCACCAGAGGAGAGAUGUGGGUAGUAGCCAACAGUCAGUUUCAUUCUUUGCCCCAGUGACACUCAAAUUCCGGCACACCCUUCUCUCCUCCCAGAGAGUCCGGCCACCUCAUGUAGGUGUUUGGCACAGCUGACAGGACACAAGGCAAUCUGCUGAGUCAUGAAUCACCAAUCUGAGAUUCCACCAUUCACUGCCAAGGCACUGCCAAGUAGAAUGCCCAAUGCAGAGGUGGCACCAGAGGAAGCCCUGGGUGGCAGUGAGGCAUGGCCACUGGCCAGGGAGGCAGAUACUGGGAAUAAAGGGGACAUCCUAGCUAGGUGUUCAAGGCUCACGGUGCCAAUCUGCUAGAAGAAAGCCUGUGGACCAUAAAGAAACAGGCAGCUGGGCAAGCCUUAUUUUGCUGACCUCUGCUCUAAAGAGAACAAGGAAGCAAGUAGUAGUAGAUGAAGAAACAUCCUGGAGGCUGAGCUCUCUAUCUCCUUUCUCCCUGCCUCCACUCUCCUGUCUAAAAUUUGGGUAUGACUGCUAUCUGGACCUGGAGAACAAGGAUUCCAGGUUUUACAGAGCACACCACUGGAAGAAGUCUAAGCCUGAUGAACUUCACAGAACCACUCUACCAUGGCUGGACUAUCAGAACUACCCACCUACUAACUUUUUACACAGGAGUAAAAUCAUAUUUACCUCACUGAUCAUUUGAGAUCUACCACAUACAGCUGAAUCCAAUCCUAAUGCAGUACAACAGAUGAUAGAAAACUAAAACAUACAUUAUUAAAAAAAAAACCUGUAUAUAUGAUUGUUGAGAUCCUAAACCUCCACGCCCCCACCCAACCCCCAAUCAAAUUUAAGAAAGCUGUCGACCAGGCUUUUUCAUGGAGGGAGACUGGAAGUCACUGAAGUGACACUAAUCACUACAAAACACAUGGAAGCUGAUAUCUGGAGCU
rnacentral:lncRNA from 1 species